UCGCCGUCGCGAGCGCUUCCGGGAGGUUAGCGCGUCGCGGGCAGCUUCUCUCGGCUUGCGGGAGCGCGGGCUCGGGAGCCGGGCCCUGGCGGGCUCGCCAUGGACCGCGACUUGCUGCGGCAGUCGCUGGGCUGCCACGGCCCGGCGCUGCUGUCGCUGCUGCGGAGUGAGCAGCAAGACAACCCGCACUUUCGGAGCCUUCUGGGCACGGCGGCCGAGCCAGCCCGCGGCGCGGCGCCGCCUCCGGGAGCCGGCAGGAAAGAGAAGAGAGUUGACAACAUUGAAAUACAAAAAUUCAUCUCUAAAAAAGCGGAUCUGCUUUUUGCCCUGUCUUGGAAAUCAGAUGCAUCUACACCCUCUGAAGUGCAUGACGACAAUGACAGUCAUUAUGCCGUCAUGCCACCUUUAGAGCAAUUCAUGGAGAUCCCAAGCAUAGACCGGAGAGAACUGUUCUUCCGAGAUAUUGAGCGUGGUGAUAUAGUGAUUGGAAGAAUCAGCUCUAUUCGGGAAUUCGGUUUUUUCAUGGUGUUGAUCUGUUUAGGAAGUGGUAUCAUGAGAGAUAUAUCUCACUUAGAAAUCACAGCUCUUUGUCCCUUAAGAGAUGUGCCUUCUCACAGUAACCAUGGAGAUCCUUUAUCAUACUACCAAACUGGUGACAUAAUUCGAGCUGGAAUCAAGGAUAUUGACAGAUACCAUGAGAAGCUUGCAGUAUCUCUGUAUAGCUCAUCUCUUCCUCCACACCUGACUGGCAUUAAACUAGGUGUGAUUACUUCUGAAGAGCUUCCUUUGUAUUACAGGAGGAGUAUUGAACUAAAUAGUAAUUCUUUGGAGUCCUAUGAAAAUAUCAUGCAGAGUUCUCUGGGAUUUGUUAAUCCAGGAGUAGUUGAAUUCCUUCUAGAGAAACUAGGAAUAGAUGAAUCUCAUCCACCAUCUUUAAUGAGAGGCCUACAAAGCAAAAAUUUCUCUGAAGAUGAUUUUGCUUCAGCCUUAAGAAAGAAGCAAUCAGCAUCUUGGGCUUUAAAAUGUGUGAAGAUUGGAGUCGAUUAUUUUAAGGUGGGGCGACACGUGGAUGCUAUGAAUGAAUACAAUAAAGCUCUGGAAAUAGACAAACAAAACGUGGAAGCUCUGGUAGCUCGUGGAGCAUUAUAUGCAACAAAAGGAAGUCUGAACAAAGCAAUAGAAGAUUUUGAGCUUGCAUUAGAAAACUGCCCAACUCAUAGGAAUGCAAGGAAAUAUCUCUGCCAGACACUUGUAGAAAGGGGAGGGCAGUUAGAAGAAGAAGAAAAGUUUUUAAAUGCUGAAAGUUACUAUAAGAAAGCUCUGGCUUUGGAUGAGACUUUUAAAGAUGCAGAGGAUGCUUUGCAGAAACUUCAUAAAUAUAUGCAGGUGAUUCUUUAUUUCCUCUUUGAAAUUUAAUGGUAUUUAAAAUUAAAUAUCAUUUUCUUUUAGGAAAAACUAGGUAACCUAGGUGAAGUAUUAUGAAGAUGAAUAGCUUGUUCUAAUUAGGUAUAACAUUAUAGUGCCACUGCUUUUUUGUUUAUUCGAAAGUAAAAAUAGCCACAUAUGAGAAUGCCUGUGCCUAAUUCAGUAUGUGAUAUUGAUUGUUCUCCUUUGUAGAGAGCUUACCUGAUGGUUAUAAGAUUAUGAGUAUUGCUGGUGUAAUUGAGCUAAUUAUACAGACCUUUGUAGACACUUUUACUUGUCCUUUCCUGUAAUACUGAUGAUGAUGUUUUCUCAUGCAUUUUCUUCUGAAUUGGACCAUUGCUGCUGUGUCUGUGACAUCUGGUGCUGCUCAUCCCCAUCCACAAACUGGAAAAUGAUUUCUUAUGUAAUCAUGCAUCCAACUGGGCUGUGCUAUUUUUAAAAUGAAAUCUUUGGAAUUAAGAGAAAAGCAAGCUGAAAAGGAAGAAAAGCAGAAAACAAAGAAAAUAGAAACAAGUGCAGAAAAGUUGCGUAAGCUCUUAAAAGAGGAAAAAAGGCUAAAGAAGAAAAGAAGAAAAUCAUCAUCUUCCUCUUCAAGUGUUUCUUCUGCCAGUGAAUCCGUUUCUUCUUCCUCGUCUUCUUCCUCUUCUAGCCACAAACGGCAUAAGAAAACUAAAAGGAAUCGUUCAGAGUCUUCUCGAAGUUCAAAGAGGCACUGGUCUAGGACAUCUUCAGGCCACACAGAUCAAAGUAGGAAAGAUGAUUGCUACCCAGUUCCAACUAAUACCUCAGCAUCUUUCCUUAAUCAAAAGCAAGAAAUGGAGAAACUGCUGGAAAAGCAGGAUAGGUUACAGUGUCCAAAUGCACAGGUAAAAGAGAAAGAAAGAGGCCUUCUGACAUCUUCAGUUGAAGUACCAGAUGAUUUGGGAGGUAGGUCAGAUUUUUACAAUAGCUAUAAAACCCAGGCAGGUAGUAGCAAGACCGAAAAGCCAUAUAAAUCAGAAAGACAUUUCUCCAGUAGGAGAAAUUCCUCAGAUUUCUUCUCUAGAAAUUCAGAUGAUAAGAUGAAAGCAUCUAGUUACCGAAGAUUUGAAAAGGACACAGAGGGAAGAAAAGAUUACUCCAGGAGGUGGGAGCCAAGUUCUGGGAAGUACUCAUCCCCACCAGCCAGUUCAGACUACUCUUUGAAGUCACUUGAAAAACACAAAAAAUACAUGUAUUCUGGAUCACGGGAUGCCAGUAAAUAUGAGCAAAGAUACCAGUUAAAUACACAUCAGGGAGAACGUGUGUGUGUAAAGGUGGACAGCUGUGGGCAGGGUGACAAAACUGAGGCUCCAGAAGAGGUGUUCAACAGCAGAGAGCCGCCAGAAAGCAGAGUUAAGAAAAAUUUACCUCAAAACUUACUCAAUAUAUUUAAUCAGAUAGCUGAAUUUGAGAAAGAAAAAGGAAAUAAGCCAAAAAAAUGAUCUGCUAAGGAAAUUUUCACUGAUUUUCAGAAGUUUGGGGAUUCUUUAGCCCUAACAAAUAGUUCUAAGUCUAAACUUAUUUGUAACAGAUCACAAAAGGCUGUUUUAAUUAUCAGCCCCUUUGUCAGUCAAUGUUGUGGGUAUGUGUGGAUACAGCUUUUAACUGACAAUUCAGACUUUUUCACGUAAAGAUAUUUUCUGAGUACUUUGUUUCUUCACUGUAAUGUAGUUUGUGAGAAUUCCUUCCUUGGGUCCAUCUUAUUUCACUGUUAGAGAAAAAUAUAUUUGCAUUGAAAAAUUCGAUUGUUUUAUCAAAAAAUACUUUAUUCUGUUUUUUGUUAAAAGCUCUUAGCCUUUGGGGAUGGGGAAGAAUUUAUGGUUGAAUGUUUCUUAGAUAUUAUUUUCAGUGAUUUGUUUUCAGUAUUGAAAUUUUUACACCAUUUCAUUUUUGAGUGAUGAAUUAUGACUUGACUUAUCUAAGACUUGAUAUAAAUGGUUUGUGAACACUGUUUUAUUCCCAGCUUAACAAAAUACCUUAAGAAUAAGACCGUGAAAGUUGGUUAAUCAGAGUCUGUUUUAUUUCUCCAAUAUUACUUUUACUUAAUGGUUAUAGUCAUAAGAAAAUCUUUAAUUUUAAACACUGACCUAACCCUUUGAGAAUGCUAUAUCAAACUAGAUGAGAAUAGGAAAUAACUAUUAGUAAAAAUAGCAGCAGAGAAGCACCCUAUAAAUCUGAUUUUCUUCUGCUGUCACAUUGCAAAUGUUUGGAAAGUCAAAUGUUUCUCAGCAGAGGGUUGAUUUGCAGCUUUAGUUUUCUUCUUACCUGUCUCUUUCCUCCUUUAUUAAUGCGCCUCACUGAAUCCUAGUGAAUAAUCCAGAGUAAAGCCCAGGCCUCUGAGUUGGAUCAGUAGGUAAAAGUGCCAGCCACACCUGAUAACCUGAGUCCAAUCCCAAGACCCCAUGGUGUAGGGAGAGAACUGGCUCCCAAAGCUUGUCCUCUGUCAGCCUCACACACACACAUGCAGUACCAUGUGUGGGCCUAUACAUACAAACAGCUAAAGAAGAAAUCAUCUUCAGCUUUCAGAGAACACCUCUGAAUUACUAGAAAGUGAAUAGUAGACUCUUGGCAAUAUUAGUAAGUAUCAUAGCUGUUGCAUUUCUGAUGCUCUUCAAUUAGGAUUCUAGAAAGUAUAAAUAGCAAUAAGCUUUUACUCUCUUAUUGGUCAUUGGAUGGGAUCCAUCGUCAGACAUGCAUGAGGGAAUGGCAGAAAUAGAAGAGACUCAUUGCAUGUUUGUUUCUACCAGUAAAAUACUAAAGCUUUAAUACUGAUACAUACUAUUUGUACCAAAUUAUAGUAAUAAAGAAACCUUGAUUAAGAACAAUAAAUAAUGGUAGCAGAAAUAUAAUCACUUCAAAAACAACAUUUGUUUUUGCACCAAGGAACUAUUAUUAUUAUUAUUAUCAUUAUUAUUAUUACCAUCAUCAUCAUGUGGGGUGAGGAUGAUGAGCAUGUGUGCCACAUAUGUGGACACUGAAGGACAACUUGAAGAAAUUUCUUCUUCUGCCUUACCGGUCCCAGGAAUGAAACUUGGCUCAUUGGGCUUGACAGCAAGUACGUCCACUGAGCCAUUUUGCUAGCCCAACACCAAGGACUACUCUUAGGAAAGAGUAUUCUAUGUAUUAAUAGUUCCAGACUUAUUCCUACAUAGCUAGGGUUUGUUGUUGUGAAAGGGUGAAAACCACCUCUAAAUACCCCUUGAUCUUUGAGAAUCCCUAGUAUACCUUAUAAUCUUACACAUAUCACCUUACUUAACCCUUAGGAUAGUGCCUUGUAGGGUAGGCUAUCAGACUUUGAAAAUUACUUCUUUCCUAGGACAUAGUUAAGCAGACUACACUAAGCAUCCAGUUCCUUAGAAUAUUUAAGGAGUUGUCACAGAAAAAAAAAUAUUGGGGAUUUAAAUUGAUUCUCAGUUCUGUCUUCAGUAUUUUCUUUUACAUUAAUAUGUCCAUAGUUUGUAUCUACCCUGGACAGCUUUGUCUUAAUUUCCAUGAGUAGAACUGUGACUUCUGGAUGUUAAGACAGUCCAGAUCUGCAAACGGGGUUCAUUCUCUGUCUUAGCAUUUAGCAUUAUUACAUGCAGUUAGUAUCGUGGUUAAACGUAAACUUGGAUGCUGGCCAUUCCAGAGUAGGGUCUAGUAGCUAACUACUUACUAUGCAGUUAACCCUGUUUCAGUGCCAGUGUGUUUUGCUUAUAUGUUACUUUAAUAAACCUGUGAUAGUUAUCUCUAAAUUACAAAAAGAAAAAGCUUAGAAAAGUAAUCUCCUUAGAAACAAAGCCUCUGCCUUUGUAGAACACAAAGUUUAGUGUUUUAAGUUUUAAGUAACUUACAAACUAAAACAACUGAGAAUCACAACAUUGAUUUUAAAAACCGAUGAUGAGAUUAAUCAGUUUUAGAUCUUCAACAUGUUAUGUAUUUCGGCAAUAUUUGUGCCCAGAGUUUUCUUAGCCAUUUUACUUGUUAGACUUAACUGUGUUUCUAAAUUUAAAACGAUCAUUAGUAGAAAUGGAUUUACUACCACCGCUGCUUUUUCAGAAGUGACUGAGUAGUGGUUCUAAGACAAUCACUGUUGCAAUGACUAUUUUGCCCAAGUUUAAAGGAGAUGCUGAUUUAUAUACGUGAAUGGUAAUGUAUUUGAAAUUAUCUCCUACUGUAGUCCGAAAAAUUCAAAGUGCUGGAAAUAAAGUAUUAGCUAGAAAAAACAAUUUUAAAUAUAGUAUGCAAUAUCUACCUCCAGUGUAAAUUUAAGGUCAGAGAAACAUUUUUAGCAGCUUAAAUUGUGCUUUAUUUGUGCAUAUAUAGAGAUAAGUGUAUACACACACACACACACAUAUAUACAGUGUCUUUCUUACUAAACUUUUUUCUUGAGGGAGUGGGAAUGAUGCUGUCUUUUGGUUACAGAUUAUAACCAGAACAAACAAAAUAUGCCCUUUACCAGGUUCCUCUCUCAUGCCUCCCCCCCCAUCUGAAUACAGUUUGCUUUUUGUUUUUUUAUUUUAAAAAGUAAUUUGUGAUCUAGAGAAAUGAAAACUUACCUAUUGAGAUAUAGAAUAAAUCUUUAGAAGUGUAUUAGUGAAAGAAUCUUAUGAAUGUGUUACUUCAUAAAACAUCUAACACUAUAGACAUAUUCUAGUAAAAAAGAAAAACUGCUGAUUUCCCUCUGCUUUGUCACAUGACUUGGCUAAGGUUCUGCAGUUUUUCUUCUCUAUAAAUAAAACAAUAGGAAAAAAACAAACAAAAAACUCCCUUUGCUCUUUUCUCAAACAGCUUAUAGCCACUGUGCAGAACUUUUGUCUGCUCUGUACUUCUGGUACUAUUUUAGUAAGCCUGUAUCAUCAAUAAAUGGAACCCCAGAAAAAGAGGGAGACUUAACUAGUAAUAAGAUUUUCAUUUGUGUUCAAAAUUUGUACAAAAGAUUUUAAAAAAAAAAAAAAAAAAGGCAUGUUUAUUUGUUGAGCUUUUUUUCUUUAGGAAUGUUGGAAUUACUGCCACUACUAGCUGACCUAGAACUAUCACUUCUUGACGGAGGCUGUGGGAAUCUGAGCUCUAUCACUUUAGCUGUAGGUGGAGAGGGCGGAAUUGAGUCCUCGAGCGACCUGGAACAAGAAAGGAUUUUCUAUAAGUUUAAUGCAAAAUGUACUUCAAAAAGACCUUUCUAUUGGCAAAAUAAUAUUUUUUUAAUUCCAUAAGUAAUUAAAGAACUAGGAAAGCUAUAAGUGUUAAUAAAUCUAAAAAUAUCACCAAUUCUUUCAAAAAAAAAAAAAGAAAUGAACAUAGUUUAAGUAAGUUGUUAAUUGUUUCUGUGAGAAAAAUAUUUUCAAGUGUAAUCAGUUUCAUAGAAUUGGAAGCAAUCGUUUGUAAAGGUAGAAACAAAAGAAGGCGUGGGUGCUUAAAAAGGUGAUGAAAAUGAUAGUUUAAAGUCAAGUCAUAAUGAAGAAGAGAGGGGUUGACAGGAAAGAUGGUUUGGAAAAUAGCCAUUUGCUUCUGAAAUGAGAUGUUUUAUUAAAAGUACAGAAAAGUUUAAUACAUAAUAAACAUUGAGUAGUUUGAUAUAUUUAUGUAGAAAAAAGGUUUUUAAGCUUAAAAUACUGUCUUUGGGGAUUUCUCUUUUUUUAAUGAAACAGUUACAUAGACUAAUAAAAACUAGUAUAUAACUUUCAGCUGUACAAGAUUAGAAAUCUUAAAAUCAGGUUUAUUAUUAAUAAACAUGUCAACAAAGACAUAAUGUCCAUGACUUGCUCCCCCUGGUAGAUUUUGGUUUGCAUUAAGCUAAGUAAGAUACCGUAAAUAAACAUCUAUAAUUAGAAAAUCCAUUAUCUGGGCAUCUAACUUACUCUUAUACAGUUUACAAAGAUUUAAAUUUUCCCAGAGUUAGAGUUUACCCAAAAUGCUUGCUAUAUCACCCUAAUUUUCACCCAACCUUGUUCCCUAAAAUAAAUGUGUGAUAGUAGAAAUAUUGGCAGCUGCAGGCAGCUUGCUAUACUGUGUGUCUGAACAGUAGUGCGUUGCUGAAGGUGAGUGAUGUGGGUGGGUAGCAUGCUGGCCAGCAGCAGCUGUGGGGUUGAGGGCCCGCUUCCCUUACCUGAGUGAUGAAAGUGAAGACUGGGAAGAAGCUCUCGAGCUUGAGCCUUUUGCUAUAGGUAGUUCUAACCCAUCCUAAAAGAAUGUUUGAGUCAUUAGUUCUACACACUUUAGAAGAAAGCUAAUUAGAUACACAGACCUAUUAUAUUAGACUAUUACCUGCUGAAAAUAUGUUUGAAAAAUGACAUGAAUUUCUGCAUUUUCCAUGGCAUUAACUAACAUUUGGUCAAUGUCCUUGUGAAAUUGUAUGAUCUCACGGAGCUGAAUGUCUUGUUCCUCUAGAGUUUCAUCAUUUGUUUGUUUCAAAAUGCGGAUUUCUCUUCUGAGUCUUCCACACUGUUAAUAUUAAUAAAUAAGUCAGGUGUUACAUAAAACUACUUUCCACAAGUUAAGGAAAGCGGAGUCUGAGUCCAUUUGGUACUUGAAAGAUGUGAGUAUUAAGGUCAGCUUUAAGAGGUCAUCAGCACCUGCUUAGUUACUCGCUGUAAUUUCAGCUUCUGCUCCUCAGUCUCCUUACGAAGUUGAAAUGCGAGUGUUUGUUUCUCUGAUAAUUUCUCUUUGGCAUUAUUUGCUAAGUGUUCUAUAACUUCAAAAGUAUUUUCCAUGCUCUGUAGAAAAUAAAGUGUCAACAUACUCAUGGUCAGAAUAAAAAAAGUGAUUUAUUGCUGCCAUUUGCCAGCUGUUCCCUCAAUUUGAAUUUUUUGUCUUAUGUAUGUACUAUAUUAACUGUAUUAGUGGAUGAGGAAUAGAGUAGUCCUGUGAAUUAGUUUUGAAUAUCAUUCUCCUGGGAACUUUAGAAACAAUUACUUGAAAUUAUCCAUUUUUCAAAGAUUCAUAAUUUGUGUUAUCAGUUCAUUACCUUAGCUAGGCCCUACUUACCAAAGCACAUUUUUCUGCCUUUCAGUGGUUUGCUUUAGUGGCUACUUUCACUAGAUUUUUCUGUUUUAAGCUUUGUGUUUAAAAAUUGAAUGUGAUCUUUAAGGAAUUCAGUGAAGUCACUAAUGGCUAGUAGAUAAGUCAUAAUUGUCUAGCUGUGGUUGAUAACUAAUAAAGUUAUUGGCUCUCAGCCAUAGAAUUUUAACUGA